UGGAAAUUUAGAAUGGAAAUAAUAGUUGAAAUAAGAAUCCAGAGGUGCCCUCCCUGCCUGAGGAGAGGGAGGUCAUGGCGUGAAGCUGCCGCUGCUGCUGCUUCUGCAAGGUCUCAGGGCUGGGCUGCAGCCAUGUCCUACUGCUGGCAGGAAGGGAAGGAUCAAAUCAUAUUUGUAACCAAAGAAGACCAGGAAACUCCAAGCAAUGCAGAAUCGGUGGCUGAUGAACCCAAUGAUCCAUACGAGGAGCAUGGAUAGAUACUGCCAAUGGAGACAUUAACUGGAACUGCCCAUGCCUUGGGCGAAUGGCCAGUGGCCCCUGUGGGGAACAGUUCAAGUCAGCCUUUUCCUGCUUCCACUAUAGCAUGGAGGAGAUCAAGGGGUCAGACUGUGUAGACCAGUUCCGGGCCAUGCAGGAAUGCAUGCAGAAAUACCCAGACCUCUAUCCCCAAGAGGAUGAGGAUGAGGAAGAGGAAGAAGAGAAGCAGCCAGCAGAACAAGCAGAAGAAACAGCUCCCACUGAAGCCACUGCAACCAAAGAAGAGGAGGGGUCAAGUUAAUGAAGGCCACAAGGCACUGGGCUCCAGUCCUUUUGGAGUGGACCUUUUGCAAAAAGCCUUGUUGUCACCUUCCAGGAAAGUGUCUUUCCCUCUGUUGUCCUGUGCACUGUAAUAUACAAAAUAACUUAUUUUGAUGAUCAGGGGUCUUGACCUCUUGACAUAUACACUGAAAAAAAAAUGGGGGUUGUAUGUAUGUGUGUCCUACCUAAACCUGUAGCUACCACUUUUGAAUUCUCUUUUCAGAUUGCCCUGAAUUUUGCCACUUUUAAAUCAUGUGCUGAAUAAGCUCAGCAACUAAAAACCAUUACCCAGGAAGGUUUCUUGUGAGUGAGCUGAUUUAUUCUGAUUCAUUAUAUUCCUUUUGGUAGAUUUUGUACCCCUUGGGGAAAUAAUACAAGUAACAGAAACAAAAACAUCUUCUCUUAAAAAUGCUGGGGUGGGGCCAUAUCUACUAGCAGAGGCCAGAUGGUCAGAUACGAUUUCUGCAAACCCAUCUUGACCUUGAGUAUGUGAAGGGGUACUGUACUUCAUUCCUGAUACAUUUUGGUUUCCAUGUUGGUGUGGAGCUCCUGGUUUUCUGUGUUUGGACGGUGAAGAUUUGGACCCUCGCAUUCACAGUCCCUUUCUAAGUGAAGGGAGAGGCUGGCUUGGCUGUUCCUUGUUAUUCCGAAAGCCCUGGUUUGGGGCCCAUGUUCACACUGGCUCUCAGUCUGGCCAGGUGCAAUGUUCUUGAGAGGUGGGGACCUAAUUAUUACCAGAGUAGCAGCAAGAGAGGGAACAUUGUGAAUUAAGUAUUCAAUUAAAAGGAAACAUGAUUUCUACCUGAAAAAAAAAA